rnacentral:lncRNA from 1 species
GAAAUCUGAAGUUACUAAACGAAAGGAGAUCUCCUGCCCAGACAUGGAUGACUUUAAGAAGUCUGAUCAGGAACCUGAUGUUGUAUGGUACAAGGAAUGCAAGCCAAAAAUGUGGAGAAGCAUAAUAAUACAGAAGGGAAAUGCUCUUCUCAUCCAAGAAGUUCAAGAAGAAGAUGGAGGAAACUAUACAUGUGAACUUAAGUAUGAAGGGAAACUUGUAAGGCGAACAACAGAAUUAAAAGUUACAGCAGGAACAUUUCCUCUUUGCUAGUGCAAAAGCAGAUCAAGUGCCCGGACACAUGGCUCUGAAGGACCAUCAAAUCGUAUCUACAGCUGUGCUCUUCGUCCUUCAUAAAGGCCUGUUCUGACUAUUUAAAGCUUCCUCUGUGCUUGAUCAAAAUAAAAAUCAUUUGAAAUAUAAUG